GGUCAGCUCAGUCGGGUAGAGCGUGAGACUCUUAAUCUCAGGGUCGCAGGUUCGAGACCAACGUUGGCCA